UCCGUAGGGCGCAAGCGUUGUCCGGAAUUAUUGGGCGUAAAGAGCUCGUCGGCGGUCUGUCGCGUCUGCCGUGAAAACCCGAGGCUUAACCUCGGGCUGGCGGUGGAUACGGGCAGACUAGAGGUAGGUAGGGGAGAAUGGAAUUCCCGGUGUAGCGGUGAAAUGCGCAGAUAUCGGGAGGAACACCGGUGGCGAAGGCGGUUCUCUGGGCCUUACCUGACGCUGAGGAGCGAAAGCGUGGGGAGCGAACAGG
rnacentral:rRNA from 1 species